rnacentral:rRNA from 1 species
GCGGCGGACGGGUGAGUAACACGUGGGCAACCUGCCCUGCAGACUGGGAUAACUUCGGGAAACCGGAGCUAAUACCGGAUAACACCGAAAACCGCAUGGUUUUCGGUUGAAAGGCGGCUUUUACCUGUCACUGCAGGAUGGGCCCGCGGCGCAUUACCUAGUUGGUGAGGUAACGGCUCACCAAGGCAACAAUGCGUACCCAACCUGAAAGGGUGACCGGCCACACUGGGACUGAAACACGGCCCAAACUCCUACGGGAGGCAGCAGUAGGGAAUCUUCCGCAAUGGACGAAAGUCUGACGGAGCAACGCCGCGUGAGCGAAGAAGGUCUUCGGAUCGUAAAGCUCUGUUGUCAGGGAAGAACAAGUGCCGUUCGAACAGGGCGGUACCUUGACGGUACCUGACGAGGAAGCCACGGCUAACUACGUGCCAGCAGCCGCGGUAAUAC